AAUGAACGUUGGCGGCGUGGAUUAGGCAUGCAAGUCGCGCGACAAGGUUGCUAUAGCAAUAUAGUGGCUGGAGGAGCGGCGAAAGGGUGAGGAACACGUGGAUACCUACCCUCAGGCUCGGGAUAGCGGCUGGAAACGGCCGGUAAUACCGAAUAACAUCUCCGGAUCAAAGCUCCGGCACCUGAGGACGGGUCCGCGUCCCAUUAGCUAGUUGGCGGGGUAAUAGCCCACCAAGGCAAAGAUGGGUAGUGGGCGUGAGAGCGCGACCCACCACACUGGGACUGAGACACUGCCCAGACACCUACGGGUGGCUG
rnacentral:rRNA from 1 species